CGGUGGUAGAGACGAUUUUAAAAGAACAGCACAUUAUAAAGUGAUCAGAUUUUCUCUCAGUGAAAAAUUCUAUGUUCCUUUUUAAUUACAGCAGUUCAGAUGUCGAUAUAGAAUUGAAAAAGGGCUUCUUCCUGAACAUCCAAGGGCAGGGCCAACUGACGAUGUUGAAGAAUGAAGACAUUUUAGUAUGGAUUACUAGUAUAGAUUAUAGUAUCUCUUGUCCUUUAUGAUGUCUUUCUGAAAGUUAUUGGUGAAUACAAAUUGAGCUGUGAUCCCUCAACGUGGCCAACAACAUGCUCCACCAAAUACCUGAGCACAAUAUAGAAAGUGCACAUACAUGCAGGGAUGGAUUUACUGGGAGGGUGUGGGGUGUGUACCCCCCUAGCCCUGGUCAGAGGGAGUGCAGGAGGGUGCUAUUUUUUAUGAUAAAGCAAAAAAGACAAAAUGAGAUACAAUAAUUUGAGUAAUAACAUGAUGAUAAGUGAACUGUGAACAAUUACAAUUCACAAUUACAGCAGUUGAUGGGUGGGCGGCACACAUGACCGACACAAUUCGGCAGUUGGCACCAGAGCACCCCCCUACCAGAUCAUGCUGGAUCCAUCCCUGCAUACAUGUACUGUAUCAUAUUUAAUUAAUGCUUGUAUAUUUGUUCAAAUUUAUUGACAUUAAUAAUUAAAUUAUGUUUGUUAUAGUAGUGUACAUUUUGCACCAGCCACUCUUGAAAUUAGACGUCAGCCACUUUUUAACUAGAUGGCCAUGGAUGACCUAAGAAAUUGUUUUCUUUAUUAAACAGCAACUUGCAAGCUUUGUGAUAUUUCUUGAAUACCUCAAAAGUUGUCAGCUGCUGUUUACAUUAUCUACUUCAUAUGUUUCGAUAAUUUUUGUUGAAAAGAUGCUGAAUUGUCAGUAUGUGACAAUUCAUUUCAAGCACCAUGUAAGUUGCCACACAUCACCCACAGUAUUUUUUGGACAAGCCAGGUUUAACACCCUGGCUGGUACAGUUAUUGUAUAUACCUGUAGUAUAAUUCACCAUGUUUGGUUUUUUAGUAUGCAUGAACACUAUUAUUAAGUUAAAGGAGGAAGCAUUUAUAAUGGCAUGCAGGUACAUUAUUUGAUACUUCUGAAGACCAUCCAGAGUCAACAGGUGUAUAUAGAAACAAGUAAAUAGAGACCCAUAUUUUGACUAGAAAUAAGAACCAUUUAAAUUCAACUCAGCCCGAUUUUCACAGAACCAACUUUAAAACGAACUGCAGUCGAACUUUACAACAUACAUUCCGAACUUACAAAUAAACAUUGGUGGUCAGAUUUCAAAGACAAAUUGACAGUAAGAUGUAAUUUUAUUGUUGGGGAUGGGUUGGUGCUUUAGGGGUUGGUGCUUUAGGGUUUAGGCUCAAUUCCUGCAGAAGGGUUACAUAAAGUCACAGCAAUUUCAAAAUUAAUUACAUGGCUUGACAAAAUAAAUUCUAUUCAGUCACGAAAUAGGUAGAUGCAUUUAUUUAUAGCACAUGUUUUUUUACGUUUAGAUAUAGGUAAUGAGAACCAUAUUGGUGUCCUACACAAUAAAAAAGCAAUAUUGCUAUUUUGAGGGAGUUGCACAAGUGCACAUGACAGAUAUUGUUUUCUUAUAGAUACACACCUACUUAAAUUAAAUGAUUUUUCAUUUUUGUUUGGCAAUAAAGUGAAAGGUAAAAAUGCUGAAAAAAUCUAAAAAGUUAGCCAAUUUAAAUAACAUCAUUUCUAUAACUUGCUAAACCUAGUCAGUUACUA
rnacentral:lncRNA from 1 species